rnacentral:rRNA from 1 species
GCGGAGUAAGAUUGCGUCAGCGUCUGAAAAAACAUAAAAGUUACAACUUUCAACAACGGUCCUCUUGGUUCUGGCAUCGAUGAAGAACGCAGCGAAAUGCGAUAAGUAGUGUGAAUUGCAGAAUUCAGUGAAUCAUCGAAUCUUUGAACGCACAUUGCGCCCCUUGGUAUUCCAUGGGGCAUGCCUGUUCGAGCGUCAUUUGUACCUUCAAGCUCUGCUUGGUGUUGGGUGUUUGUCUCGCCUCUGCGUGUAGACUCGCCUUAAAACAAUUGGCAGCCGGCGUAUUGAUUUCGGAGCGCAGUACAUCUCGCGCUUUGCACUCAUAACGACGACGUCCAAAAGUACAUUUUUACACUCUUGACCUCGGAUCAGGUAGGGAUACCCGCUGAACUUAAGCAUAUCAAUAAGCGGAGGAAGACUCCGCAGGUUCGCCUGCG